rnacentral:lncRNA from 1 species
GAAGGUGAAUGCAUGUUCGGUGCCAAAGGUACAGCCCUGAUCUCUCUGAACAAUAGUAAAGAUCUUCUAACGAUUGGCUUACUUCACUUAAAGAUUGCCAACAAGGUAAGGCAGCCAUUUUCAACAAUUACCUUCCUUGCAUUUAGAUAUUAGGUUAUAAAUAACGCUUCAUGUACCUUCAUGCUUCAGCCACUACUAGGUAAUCGGUAUAAGCAAACCGUGCUUUAUCUGUAGCAAGCACUCCCAACAUCUCAUGAUCUUAGUCUUGCUUCAACAUACCUUCACUUCAAAGAGUAAUCCUUAAUAUUUAUUUUAAUCCAGUUUGCUGCUUAAGGUUGCCAUCAAACCUUUUAGGUUCUCUUUAUUGUUCUUCAAGUUUACCUGGGCAUUAAAAUACUCCUCGUACGUCACCGUUUUUCAGACUACUCAAUUCGUUAGUUCCAUGUAUCAAUAUCAAAAAGACAUCUCGGCUUUACAAAUUUAACAUAAAACAAUAGCAGAAAGACAAACACCCCAAUUAUAGUUUUGCAUCCCUUGUCAAUGGUUCUCUCUCUUUCAAUGGUUCUCUCCUUCUCUGUCACACUUAAAAUGGUGUGUGUAUUUAUUUCCAUUCAGAUGAAUCAAAUAAUGUGCAUG